rnacentral:misc_RNA from 1 species
GAACACCCUGCAUCUUCUCAUUGUCUCUCUUCCAAAGCUAGGUUUGGAGGCACGUAGAGAUGCCACCCAAGUGGUUGCAAAUUUGCAGAGGCAACAGGUUCAUUCUCGGAUUAUUGCGUCUGCUUACAUGGAAGCUAACUUGAAUCUUAUUGAUAUCAAAAUAUCNUUGAUAUCAGGGUAUGAAGACCCAGACCUUGCUCUGCAUUAUGGUGGUAUGUUGAGGGAGC